rnacentral:rRNA from 1 species
AUAAUAUUAUUAAAAAUAUUUGAUGUAAAGUUGUUAAUUUAAAUAAUUUUAGGAGGUAAGUUUUAGUAUAGUUUAUGGAAUUUAUAAGGGAAUAAUAGUGGAUUAGUACUGUGAAGGAAAUAUGAAAUAGUUGAAAUAUUUAUUAGGUUGGAAGAAGAAUAAAGUUUGUACCUUGGGUAUCAGGGUUUAUUAAUUAAUAAUAAUGAGUUAUAUUCUCGAAUUAAAAAGAGUUAAAAUAAUAAAGUAGUUAAUGUGUCAUUAUUAUUAACAAUGUUAUUUUGGUAAUGAAAUGUUAAACGUUUUUUAAGUUAUCUAGUUUUCUAAGAAAUGAAUUUAAUUCAUGAUAUUGGGAGUAAAAUUUUAUUUAUAAUUAAUGGUUUGUUUUUCAUAUCAAAUAUAUAAAGGGAUAAGCUUUUAUAUAAUGACUAUAAGUUAUGAACUAUACAAAGAGUUGUAGGCUUUAAAUUAGCUAUCAAUGAGAUAAUGUUAUAAAUUGUUUUGUAAUAAAGUUAUUUUUUAAUAAUUUUAGUUUGUUUAUUAGGAUAUUAUAUUAAAUAGGUUAAUAUAAGUAAUGAUGGUAAAAUGAGUAUAAAGUAGUUGUUCAUGUAAUAUUAUUUGGUAAUUUAUAAUAAGGAACUAGGCAAAUUAUCACUCGCCUGUUUAUCAAAAACAUCUCCUUUUGUUUAAAUAUUAGGUAGGGCCUGCCCACUGAAGGUAUUUGAAGGGCCGCGGUAUUAUGACCGUGCAAAGGUAGCAUAAUCAUUAGUCUUUUAAUUGAAGGCUGGAAUGAAUGGUUUGACGAGGUGAUGACUGUCUCAUUAUGAAAUGUAGAAGUUAACUUUUGAGUUAAAAGGCUUAAAUGUAAGUGGAGGACGAGAAGACCCUAUAGAGCUUUAUAUAUAUAUAUUUAAUUUUGUAUUUAGGAGUUAAUAAGAAUUUAAAUUGAUUAUAUUGUGUUGGGGUGACAUAAAGAUAAAAUUAACUCUUUAUUAUUGGGACAUUGAUGUAUGGAUUUUUGAUCCAUUUUUAGUGAUCAUAAGAUUAAGUUACCUUAGGGAUAACAGCGUAAUUUUUCUUGAGAGUUCAUAUCAACAGAGAAGAUUGCGACCUCGAUGUUGGAUUAAAGAAUAUGAUUGGAUGUAGCAGUUUAGUUAAUAGGUCUGUUCGACCUUUAAAUCUUUACAUGAUCUGAGUUCAGACCGGUGUAAGCCAGGUCGGUUUUUAUCCUUAUUUUUCUUUUAGACCUUAGUACGAAAGGACCAGGUAUUUUAAAUAUUUUAUUUUAUUUGAUUAGUAGUA